CAGACCGGGAAAUGAAAACGGGGAUUUUCAGUAAAUCGGUUCCAGUAAAUCUCUGCUGCUCUUGUGGGCGCCCUCUUUUGAGUACCGGAGGAAUGAGCACCGUUCUUCAUUCUUAUGGUUUUGUGAAGUUGUAGAGCUGCGUUCACAAGUGAUUGGGAAGACCAGGAUGCGCAAUGGCAAGAAUUAAUCAGACUGAUGAAAGAAAACAUUGUAAUAUGUAUAGCUCCUCCACGAAAAGUGUUGUAAGCUGCUCCAAUUCUGUUACUCUCCUAUUAAAGUGCUGACAACUCUGGAAUACACAGUAGGCACUCAAUACAUACAAGGGAGUAAAUGAAUGAAUUAAAGCUGUCUGUAUCUGCUGAUCAUCCACAAUUUAGACGUCCUAUACUACAUUCCAAGGCAAGCGGGGUACGUGUCCUGAAUUUAUAGAAUCUUUUGACACAAAGCAACAGAGCCACAGUCAAGACUCAAGUCAAAAGAAAUUUAGAUCCCAUCUGGGCAAACAGGCCUCUAAGCAACAAUCUAAGAUUUCCACCUAUUGUUCUGGCAUUCCUUGUAUAAAUGAUUAUGACUGCAGAGAUCUUAGGAAGUGCUGUGGUACCUUUAGAUGUGGCCUGAGGUGCAUACAUCCUCUUAUGAUUGACUCUGUAUUUUUCAAUUCACCUCCACAAUC